rnacentral:sRNA from 13 species
CAUUUGUUAUUUCCAUAAAGUUCCCUUGAAAUGGGAACAAAGUAAAAAUUG